UCUUUGGUUAUCUAGCUGUAUGAGUGUCAGAAUCCCGCCAUAAAGCUACUUAACCAAAAGCA
rnacentral:pre_miRNA from 1 species